GACGAACGCUGGCGGCGCGCUUAACACAUGCAAGUCGAACGGAAAGGCCUGCUUUCCCUUGUGGAUUGCGGGUACUCGAGUGGCGAACGGGUGAGUAACACGUGAGUGAUCUGCCCCCAACUUGGGUAUAAGCCUGGGAAACUGGGUCUAAUUCCCGAUAGGACUGCAGGGUGGUGCCUGUGGUGGAAAACGAUUUUCUAGUGGUUGGGGAUGAGCUCGCGGCCUAUCAGCUUGUUGGUGGGGUAAUGGCCUACCAAGGCGGCGACGGGUAGCCGGCCUGGGAGGGUGGACGGCCACAUUGGAACUGAGAUACGGCCCAGACUCCUACGGGAGGCAGCAGUGGGGAAUAUUGCACAAUGGGCGGAAGCCUGAUGCAGCGACGCCGCGUGGGGGAUGACGGCCUUCGGGUUGUAAACUCCUUUCGACCGCGAGGAAGCCACCUGGUUGGAAGGGUGGUGACGGUAGUGGUAGAAGAAGCACCGGCUAACUACGUG
rnacentral:rRNA from 1 species